GACGAACGCUGGCGGCGUGCUUAACACAUGCAAGUCGAACGAAGUGGCGAACGGGUUAGUAACGCGUAAUCAACCUGCCCUUCAUAGGGGGACAACAGUUGGAAACGACUGCUAAUCCCGCAUACUGAAGGAGGGGAUUGCGUCUGAUUAGCUAGUUGGAGGGGUAACGGCCCACCACGCCGAUGAUCAGUAGCCGGUCUGAGAGGCUGAACGGCAACAUUGGGACUGAUACACGGCCCAGACUCCUACGGGAGGCAGCAGUGGGAAAUCUACCGCAAUGGACGAAAGUCUGACGGAGCAACGCCGCGUGAGUGAUGACGGCCUUCGGGUUGUAAAGCUCUGUUAAUCGGGACGCGGUACCGGAAUAGAAAGCCACGGCUAACUACGUGCCAGCCGCCGCGGUAAUAC
rnacentral:rRNA from 1 species